UUUGAAUAAUAGCAAACAUAUUUUUAAAAAGCAAUUAAAGAAGCACAAAGAAAAAAUAUUUGUGAAUUACCACUUGCAUAAUCGUUGACAGUGUGCCAUUUUUUCCAUUUCUGCCAAAAUUUACGGGUGACGCAGAGAGGAGAAUUGACGAAAGCAGCAAUCAAAACAAACUAAAGCAAUAACAACAAAAUGCGGUGGAAAUGCCAGCGCGGAAGACAACAAGCACAGCUGAUCAAAUAAGGCCAAAGAAUAAAGUGAAAUUAAAUGGAAAUUCUCCAAGCCGAUCUCUCUAAAUUUAAUAGCGAUCAGCUACUGUAUUGGAAAUUAGCUAUUUAUAGCUUUAAAAAUUAAGUGACACAAUAAAAGUCAAUAAAGCGGACUUAUUUUUACCACAAUGAUGUAUGUAUUUAUACAUUGAAGGUUCUACUCAUACUAUGUCUCGUUCAAAAUAAUAAUGAUGUUGAGCGAAGCGUGAAGUGAGCUAAUCUAUCUUUGGUCACUAUGUGACGUUUAUUAGCAAAAAAGAAGCGGAUUAUCAUUCAUGACAAUUCUGCGAAAGCCUACUCAACGAAGCUGAGUGUGUGUGUGGAAAUACAAAAGUUUACAUGGGCUUGUCCAUGUGUAAACUCACUGCGAAUCCGCUAGUGCCGGAUGGACAACCAUUUAUUUUCCCUCAAUACACUUGGAAAAAGAAUUGAGCAUUACAGAAACUCUAUCGGAUAAGGCUAAUCAUUCUUCACUAGUUCAAGGGAAGCCCUCACACCUCAGUCCACAUCCAAAAUGUGAAAUUGCAGAUGCAGAACGAGAAGAUUGCUGCAUUCUACCCUUG